AGAUUAAGCCAUGCAUGUCUAAGUACAAGCCUCACUAAGGUGAAACCGCGAAUGGCUCAUUAAAUCACACCUAAUCUACUGGAUAGUCAACAGUUACUUGGGUAACUGCGGUAAUUCUGGAGCUAAUACAUGCACAAAGCCCCGAACUUACGUGAGGGGUGCUUUUAUUAGAUCAAAACCAAACGGCUUCGGCUGUUCUCUUGGUGACUCUGAAUAACUUUGGGCUGAUCGCAUAGCCUAGCGCUGGCGACAUAUCCUUCGAAGGUGUGCCCUAUCAACUGUCGACUGUGGCAUAGACGCCCACAGUGGUUUUGACGGGUAACGGGGAAUCAGGGUUCGAUUCCGGAGAGGGAGCCUUAAAAACGGCUACCACAUCUAAGGAAGGCAGCAGGCACGCAAAUUACCCAAUGACCGAAGGUCGAGGUAGUGACGAAAAAUAACGAUACGGGACUCAUCCGAGGCCCCGUAAUCGGAAUGAUUACACUUUAAAACCGUCCCAGAGGACCCAUUGGAGGGCAAGUCUGGUGCCAGCAGCCGCGGUAAUUCCAGCUCCAAUAGCGUAUAUUAAAGUUGUUGUGGUUAAAAAGCUCGUAGUUGGAUCUCGGCAGUCCGAGGGCGGUUCGCUUGCUAGUGUUACUGCCUUAUGGACCGUAGUUUUGCCAGAGGUU
rnacentral:rRNA from 1 species